rnacentral:rRNA from 1 species
UGGGGAAUUUUACGCAAUGGGGGAAACCCUGACGUAGCGACACCGCGUGAGCGAAGAAGCCCUUUGGGGUGUAAAGCUCUGUCAACAGGGACGAAAAAAAUGACGGUACCUGUGGAGGAAGCAUCGGCUAACUACGUGCCAGCAGCCGCGGUAAGACGUAGGAUGCGAGCGUUGUCCGGAUUUAUUGGGCGUAAAGAGUUCGUAGGUGGUUUGUUAAGUCUGGUGUUAAAUACUGAAGCUCAACUUCGGAACUGCACUGGAUACUGGCAGACUUGAGUAUGGUAGAGGCGAGCGGAAUUCCCAGUGUAGCGGUGAAAUGCGUAGAUAUUGGGAAGAACACCGGUGGCGCAAGCGGCUCGCUGGGCCAUAACUGACACUGAGGAACGAAAGCUAGGGGAGCAAAUGGGAUUAGAUACCCCCGUAGUCC